rnacentral:rRNA from 1 species
UAGUAACUGCGAGUGAAGCGGGAAAAGCUCAAAUUUAAAAUCUGGCGGCUUUGGUCGUCCGAGUUGUAUUCUAGAGAAGUGUUUUCCGCGUUGGACCGUGUAUAAGUCUCUUGGAACAGAGCGUCAUAGAGGGUGAGAAUCCCGUCUUUGACACGGACUACCAAUGCUUUGUGAUGCGCUCUCAAAGAGUCGAGUUGUUUGGGAAUGCAGCUCAAAAUGGGUGGUAAAUUCCAUCUAAAGCUAAAUAUUGGCGAGAGACCGAUAGCGAACAAGUACCGUGAGGGAAAGAUGAAAAGCACUUUGGAAAGAGAGUUAAACAGUACGUGAAAUUGCUGAAAGGGAAACGCUUGAAGUCAGUCGCGUUGGCUAGAACUCAACCAGGCUUGCCUGGCGUACUUUCUAGUCAACGGGCCAGCAUCAGUUUUGACCACAGGAAAAAGGCCAGGGAAAUGUGGCACCUUCGGGUGUGUUAUAGUCUCUGGUCAUAUACUGUGAUUGGGACUGAGGAUCGCAGCACGCGCAAGUUGUGCUUAGGAUGCUGGCGUAAUGGCUUUAAACGACCCGUCUUGAAACACGGACCAAGGAGUCUAACAAACCUGCRAGUAUUUGGGUGGUAAACCCGAGUGCGCAAUGAAAGUGAAAGUUGGGAUCUCUGUCGUGGGGAGCACCGACGCCCGGACCAGACCUUCUGUGACGGAUCUGCGGUAGAGCAUGUUUGUUGGGACCCGAAAGAUGGUGAACUAUGCCUGAAUAGGGUGAAGCCAGAGGAAACUCUGGUGGAGGCUCGUAGCGAUUCUGACGUGCAAAUCGAUCGUCAAAUUUGGGUAUAGGGGCGAAAGACUAAUCGAACCAUCUAGUAGCUGGUUCCUGCCG